GUCAGCAGCCAUAUCACCCUGCAGCUUACAGCUAGCAGCUCAUAGAAGCUAAGCAAGUGUGAGCCUGGUCAGUACCUGGAUGGGAGACCCCUGGAAAAACUCAGCUUGCUGCUGGAU
rnacentral:rRNA from 1 species